rnacentral:tRNA from 1 species
GCUCAAGUAGUUUAAGAAAAACGUUGGUUUGUGGGGCCAAAAAUAUAUUUAUAUAUCUUGAGCA